AACGAACGCUGGCGGCAGGCUUAACACAUGCAAGUCGAGCGCCCCGCAAGGGGAGCGGCAGACGGGUGAGUAACGCGUGGGGAUCUACCCAUCUCUACGGAAUAACGCAUGGAAACGUGUGCUAAUACCGUAUACGUCCUUCGGGAGAAAGAUUUAUCGGAGAUGGAUGAGCCCGCGUUGGAUUAGCUAGUUGGUGGGGUAAAGGCCUACCAAGGCGACGAUCCAUAGCUGGUCUGAGAGGAUGAUCAGCCACACUGGGACUGAGACACGGCCCAGACUCCUACGGGAGGCAGCAGUGGGGAAUAUUGGACAAUGGGCGCAAGCCUGAUCCAGCCAUGCCGCGUGAGUGAUGAAGGCCCUAGGGUUGUAAAGCCCUUUCACCGGUGAAGAUAAUGACGGUAACCGGAGAAGAAGCCCCGGCCAACUUCGUGCCAGCCGCCGCCGUAAGAC
rnacentral:rRNA from 1 species